UGGGGAAUAUUGCACAAUGGACGGAAGUCUGAUGCAGCGACGCCGCGUGGGGGAUGAAGGCUUUCGGGUUGUAAACUCCUUUCAGUACAGAAGAAGCUUUAUUGUGACGGUAUGUGCAGAAGAAGCGCCGGCUAACUACGUGCCAGCAGCCGCGGUAAUACGUAUGUUGCGAGCGUUAUCCGGAAUUAUUGGGCUUAAAGGGCAUCUAGGCGGUAAGACAAGUUGAAGGUGAAAACCUGUGGCUCAACCAUAGGCUUGCCUACAAAACUGUUGAACUAGAGUACUGGAAAGGUGGGUGGAACUACACGAGUAGAGGUGAAAUUCGUAGAUAUGUGUAGGAAUGCCGAUGAUGAAGAUAACUCACUGGACAGAAACUGACGCUGAAGUGCGAAAGCUAGGGGAGCAAACAGG
rnacentral:rRNA from 1 species